rnacentral:miRNA from 1 species
AUCCCCUGGAGAUCUUGUUAAAUGCAGAUUCUGAUUCCUUAGGUCUAGGAUGGGGCCUGAGAGUCUGCAUUUCUAACAAGUUACCAGAUAAUGCCA